UUUGGACGAACUACACGUCUACACACGAACACAAUUACACAAAACCCUUCCCCAACCCUGAAAGAUUGAAAAAAAAAAAAGUCUAGUCCGAUGCUCUACUCCAUUCGCCAUCGCCUCCACAUGGCGUCGUCUUCUUCCUCCUCCUCCCCCGCACGAACCCUUCUCCCUGCAAAUCCCUCUCCCUAUCCUCCUCCGCCACCACCCCCAAUCCCCUAGCCCUAACCUACCUCAUCGACUCCUGCGGCUUGUCCCCCGAAUCCGCCAUUUCCGCAUCCCAGAAGCUCCGCUUCAAGAGCACCGAGAACCCUAAUGCCGUUCUCCGCCUCCUCCGCGACUACGGCUUCGGCGUGACCCACAUCUCCAAGCUCAUCUCCAGGUUCCCGGCCGUGCUUUCCAGCGACCCCCACAGCACCCUCCGGCGGAAGCUCGACGCUCUUCGGCGAGUCGCUGGCGCGCGUCGUCACCGCCCAACCCAUGCUGCUGAAGCGGAGCCUGAAGAAGCACAUCAUCUUCUUUGGGAUUUUAUAGCAUUGAAGCCACAAGUAGGAUUUGCUGUUCUACAUUUCAAGAAUGCUCCGCUGGAGCUUUUCAAUCUCCAUUUCUUAACUUUCCUACUUGAUGUUCAGCAUUUCAAGAAAGUUCAACGGGAGCUUUUCACUCUCUAUUUUCUUAGUUUUCUAACAUUUUGAGUUCAGAUAAAUUUUCUUUUGCAUUGAUUUCUAUUAAAGUAUAAAAAAUUAUUUCGUUGCA